rnacentral:rRNA from 1 species
GAUGAACGCUAGCGGCAGGCUUAACACAUGCAAGUCGAGGGGCAGCACGAUGUAGCAAUACAUGGGUGGCGACCGGCGCACGGGUGCGUAACACGUAUGGAAUCUGCCCUUUACUGGGGGAUAGCCCGGAGAAAUCCGGAUUAAUACCCCAUAACAGGCGAGGUGGCCUCACCUUGCUUUGAAAGCUCCGGCGGUAAAGGAUGACCAUGCGCACGAUUAGCUAGUUGGUGAGGUAACGGCUCACCAAGGCUACGAUCGUUAGGGGGCCUGAGAGGGUUAUCCCCCACACUGGUACUGAGACACGGACCAGACUCCUACGGGAGGCAGCAGUGAGGAAUAUUGCGCAAUGGAGGCAACUCUGACGCAGCCAUGCCGCGUGCAGGAAGAAGGCGCUACGCGUUGUAAACUGCUUUUAUCCGGGAAGAAACCCCUCGACGUGUCGAGGGUUGACGGUACCGGAGGAAUAAGCACCGGCUAACUUCGUGCCAGCCGCCGCCGUAAAAC